GGAGGGAGCGAACGUUGUUCGGAUUCACUGGGCGUAAAGGGCGUGUAGGCGGUCUGGCAAGUCAGAGGUGAAAUGUCUCGGCUCAACCGAGGACCUGCCUUUGAAACUGCCGGACUUGAGGCCGUGAGAGGAGACUGGAAUUCCUAGUGUAGCGGUGAAAUGCAUAGAUAUUAGGAAGAACACCAGUGGCGAAGGCGAGUCUCUGGCACGGUUCUGACGCUGAGGCGCGAAAGCUAGGGGGGGAGCGAACGGGAUUAGAUACCCCGGUAGUCCUAGCCGUAAACGAUGGGCACUAAGUGUUGGCCGGCGACCCCGGUCAGUGCUGCAGCUAACGCGUUAAGUACCCCCGCUGGGGAUACCGACCGCAAGGUUG
rnacentral:rRNA from 1 species